GCCCUGCCCGGUGACAGGGUGUCGGGGUGGCAGCGGUGACAGCCGUGACGGGCCGGGCAGCUGCAGUGUGAGGAGCCUCGUCCCCUUGUGCCAGCGCCAUGCCCGGGCUCCAGCGCAGCUCCCGGCUCCUGACAACGCUGCUGCGGCCCCUGCGGGUCCCCCGAGCGCACAUCAGGUCCCAGCCACCCGAGCACCAGCUCUCACCUGCCGAACAAGCCAUUGCGUUUUCUGUCAUGUUCGGAUGCUUCAUGCUCCCAACAGGCUGGAUCCUGGGAAACAUCGAGCACUACAAGAGCAGACCCGAGUGAGGAGCAGCGAAGCAGCACCCGGGCCCUGGUGAGAGCAGACAUGAGUGGAACCAAGGCCCCAGGACGGAGCUUCACCGGGGGGGAGCCCUUGGGCUUUGCUCAUUAAAGUUCCCGUUCACA